UACAGAGGGGGCAAGCGUUGUUCGGAAUUACUGGGCGUAAAGGGCUCGUAGGCGGCCAACUAAGUCAGACGUGAAAUCCCUCGGCUUAACCGGGGAACUGCGUCUGAUACUGGAUGGCUAGAGGUUGGGAGAGGGAUGCGGAAUUCCAGGUGUAGCGGUGAAAUGCGUAGAUAUCUGGAGGAACACCGGUGGCGAAGGCGGCAUCCUGGACCAAUUCUGACGCUGAGGAGCGAAAGCCAGGGGAGCAAACGGG
rnacentral:rRNA from 1 species